rnacentral:rRNA from 1 species
AUUCCAGCUCCAAUAGCGUAUAUUAAUGUUGUUGCAGUUAAAAAGCUCGUAGUUGGAUUUCUGGUCGGGACGUCUGGCCGGCUCCGCAAGGGGUCGUUGCAUUGACUGUACUCGUCCAUCCUCAGGUUGACUAGCUCUGGUAUUUAUUUAUCGGUGUAGAACGCCUGUCGUUUACUGUGAACAAAUUAGAGUGUUCAAAGCAAGGUGUACUUGAAUACAUUAGCAUGGAAUAAUAAGAUAGGACUUUGGUGGUUCUUUUUGAUAUUUUGUUGGUUUGCACGCCAAAGUAAUGAUUAAUAGGAGCAGUUGGGGGUAUUCGUAUUCAAUUGUCAGAGGUGAAAUUCUUGGAUUUAUAGAAGACGAACUACUGCGAAAGCAUUUACCAAGGAUGUUUUCAUUA